UGACUUUCUAAAGGACUUGCCU
rnacentral:siRNA from 1 species